rnacentral:rRNA from 1 species
UACAGGGGGUGCAAACGUUGCUCGGAAUCAUUGGGCGUAAAGCGCACGUAGGCGGUCUGUUAUGUCGGAUGUGAAAGCCCUUGGCUCAACUGAGGAAGUGCAUCCGAAACUGGCAGGCUAGAGUACGAAAGAGGAUCGCGGAAUUCCCGGUGUAGAGGUGAAAUUCGUAGAUAUCAUGAGGAAGACCAGUGGCGAAGGCGGGUCUCUGGACAGUUCCUGACACUGAGACACGAAGGCCAGGGGAGCAAACGGG